rnacentral:rRNA from 1 species
GGAUUAGAUACCCUAUUAUUUAUAGUGUAAAUUAUUAAUACUUGAGUAGUAAUAGUUAUGAUCUAAAAACUCAAAGAAUUUGGCGGUAUAAUAAUCUUUUUAGAGGAAUCUGUCCCGUUAUUGAUAAUCCGCGUUGAACCUUACUUAAAUUAUAAGUAUGUAUAUCGCCGUAGCUGUUGAAAAUAUUUUAAGGUUAAAAAAUUUUCGUGAAAUUUUAUUAUAUAAUAAUUCAGGUCAAGGUGCAGCAUAUAUUUAAGUGGAGAUGGAUUACAAUAUUAUUAAAAUAAUAAUGGAUUAUUUGAUGAAAUAAAUAUAUGAAGGUGGAUUUAAUAGUAAAGUUGUGUAGAUUAUCAAUUUGAUUUAGGCUCUAGGAUGUGUACACAUCGCCCGUCACUCUCGUUGUAAGAUGAGAUAAGUC